GUACACAGACCUUACUAUGCCUUGCAGGUCAAACUGCUUAUACUACCAAAUCUCAUGAUGAGAGCCCCAGUUGUAUGGAGUUUCCUUUACGUCAAAAUCCUCAAUUUUUUUACAUAAGUCCAAGUGAUUUCAGCUGCUGAACAUGCUCUGGUGGCAGAGCUGGCGGAGACCAAUCAUUUCCGUUGACCUCACCAUCGACAUCCUCCACAACAUAUUCCUUUGUCAACAUUCUUUUUGCAAGUAUAUGGUAAUGCCUCUGCCAUAUUCUCUGUCCAACCAUUGUAGCAACCAAAACACUAUAAAAUAUGCCGAUGACGGUAAAUAGUCCUAGCACAAUCAAAGCCAUUAUAAGUACUAGCGGCAACCCAGCUUCACCGGCACCUCCUAAGCAACCUCCACAUUCACUGGCCGCACCAGCACAACUUUCAAAGCAUGUUGUGCAAUCAGUCCACAUACAAAGUGUACCAGGCAAAUGACAGUCUGCACACAUUCCAGGAUGACAACAGCAAAGGCAUAAUUCGCGGCAGGGUUGAGCCAAAUCAUUGCGCACUCUUCGAUCAUAACAGGUGAUGAAGCAACCAGAUAAGCCUAGCAGAGCGAAAAAUAAAAGUGCCCCGCAUAGAUAGUAGAAGCUUAGUUCGCUAUCAAACCCCCAAGUAAAACGCAACCAAGACUUAUGGUGGGUGUCAAUCAAG
rnacentral:misc_RNA from 1 species